UACGGAGGAUGCAAGCGUUAUCCGGAAUUAUUGGGCGUAAAGCGUCCGCAGGUGGCAAUGUAAGUCUGCUGUCAAAGCGUCUGGCUCAACCAGAUAAAGGCAGUGGAAACUACAUAGCUAGAGUAAGGUAGGGGUAGAGGGAAUUCCUGGUGUAGCGGUGAAAUGCGUAGAGAUCGGGAGGAACACCAGAGGCGAAAGCGGUUAACUGGGUCUAAACUGACGCUGAGGCGCGAAGGCUAGGGGAGCAAACAGG
rnacentral:rRNA from 1 species